rnacentral:rRNA from 1 species
GAUGAACGCUGGCGGCGUGCCUAAUACAUGCAAGUCGAGCGAACAGACGAGGAGCUUGCUCCUCUGACGUUAGCGGCGGACGGGUGAGUAACACGUGGAUAACCUACCUAUAAGACUGGGAUAACUUCGGGAAACCGGAGCUAAUACCGGAUAAUAUAUUGAACCGCAUGGUUCAAUAGUGAAAGACGGUUUUGCUGUCACUUAUAGAUGGAUCCGCGCCGCAUUAGCUAGUUGGUAAGGUAACGGCUUACCAAGGCGACGAUGCGUAGCCGACCUGAGACGGUGAUCGGCCACACUGGAACUGAGACACGGUCCAGACUCCUACGGGAGGCAGCAGUAGGGAAUCUUCCGCAAUGGGCGAAAGCCUGACGGAGCAACGCCGCGUGAGUGAUGAAGGUCUUCGGAUCGUAAAACUCUGUUAUUAGGGAAGAACAAAUGUGUAAGUAACUAUGCACGUCUUGACGGUACCUAAUCAGAAAGCCACGGCUAACUACGUG